rfam:TPA: Bos taurus chromosome 18, whole genome shotgun sequence.
UCCCUGGUGGCUCAGUGGGUAAAGCAUGUGCCUGCAGUGCAGGAGACCUGGGUUCGAUCCCUGGGUUGGGAA